GCCGGGGGCGGAGCGGACGGCGCACCGGGCCGGGGCCACGCCCCAGGCCGGGCGGCCCGGGCUCCGCCCCUCCUCCCUCCCCGAGUGGGGAAACUGAGGCCCGGGGACCGAAGGACGACCUCCGCGCAACGGGGCUGCAGAGGCUCUUAAGCCACAGCCGAUAGCAAUGAGGAAGCAUUGUAACAAUGCCGUGUAUUAUUUUACUCAACAGCGGUGGCAAUAAAUCACCAGCACCCCUUUGCCUGGCCCCUCGGUGCCUUGAUUAACCCCGCGGAUGAGCCUCGGCUUCCCGAAAGCUUCCACGCUGGUUUUCCUGAGGAUGAGGCAGCCUCACCCCUGGGGGAGAGGCGUGGGGGCAGUUCUCGCUUCUGCCUUCUUUCUCCUGGGCUGCUGGGGUCUUUCUGAUUUCCAGCAGCAAUUUCUUCAGGCUUUGGAGCCGGAGGAAGUGACUUCUUAUUUUGGCCCUGAAGCUACUUUAAAAGUGCCUCCAUUCGAUGUGGCCCCUCUCAGCUGCAGCUGUGAAGAGGGGUCCCAGGGGCCUCCCUGCAGGGCCCCACGCUGCUCCCUGCGCGCCUGGGGCCGGCUCUUCACCAUCUCCUUCCCGCUGGAGCGGAGGCUCCUUACCCCCUCCUUCACCAGCGAGCAUGUCCUGAACGCCUCCCUCCGGCUCCUGAGGAGGCCGCCCCAUCUCUGCUUCACGGGAGGCCGCCCCCUGCUGCCCCUGGGCGCCGUGGCCAGAGUCACUUACUGCUCGGGCCACUUGGAGGGCAACAUCCUGGUGGGUGCGGACAGGUUCUACGUCCAGCCGGUGAGGAGGCAGCAUUGGGAGCUUGUGCCUCCCUGGGUUCGUUCCCAGCCCCACCUGAUCCACAGGCCUGUACCCAAGGCCCCCACAGCCCCCAAGGCCCCAGAAGUCAUCCAAGAACCUUCGCUGUCAGCCCUGCCUCCUCCCUUAGCAGGCCGUCCUCCUUCCCCCCGCGUCCGGAGAUGGGCUGCCGGGAGUGUCCUGCACCUGGAGUUGCUGGUGGUCGUGGGCCCCGACGUCUAUCAGGCUCACCAGGAGGACACUGAGCGCUACGUGCUCACUAACCUCAACAUGGGGUCAGAGCUGCUGAGGGACCCGUCCCUGGGGGCUCAGUUCCGAGUACAUCUAGUGAAGAUGGUCAUCCUGACCCAGCCCGAGGAUGCUCCGAAUAUCACAGCCAACAUCACUGCGUCACUGCUGAGUGUCUGUGAGUGGAGCAGGACCGUCAACCCCGAGGAUGACACAGAGCCCGGGCAUGCUGACCUGGUCCUCUACAUCACUAGGUUUGACCUGGAGUUACCUGAUGGUAACCGGCAGGUUCGGGGGGUCACACAGCUGGGGGGUGCUUGCUCGUCCUCUUGGAGCUGCCUCAUCACUGAGGAUACUGGCUUUGACCUGGGGGUCACCAUCGCCCAUGAGAUUGGGCACAGCUUGGGCGUGGAGCACGACGGUGCACCCGGCAGCGGCUGCGGGCCCAGCGGCCACGUGAUGGCGUCCCAGGACGCAGCGCCCACCGGUACCGACCUCUCCUGGUCCGCCUGCAGCCGCCGGCAACUGCUGCACCUGCUUAGCGCAGGACGGGCGCACUGCAUGCGGGACCUUCCAGAGCCGCAGGCCAGGGCCGCGGGGCGCCCUCCCCAGGCGCAGCCCGGCCUCCUCUACGGCGCCGACGAGCAGUGCCGGAUUGCCUUUGGUGCUGCGGCUGUGGCCUGCACCUUCACCAGGGAGCACGUCGACAUGUGCCAGGCUCUGUCCUGCCACACGGACCCCCUGGACCAAAGCCACUGUAGCCGUCUCCUCACGCCUCUGCUGGAUGGGACAGAGUGCGGCGUGCAGAAGUGGUGUUCCAAGGGCCACUGCCGCUCCCUGGCGGAGCUGAGCCCUGUGGGGGUGGUGCACGGGCACUGGUCUAGCUGGGGUCCCCCCAGCCCUUGCUCCCGCUCCUGCGGAGGAGGUGUGGUCACCCGGAGGCGGCAGUGCAACAACCCCAGGCCUGCCUUCGGAGGGCGUGCGUGUGUGGGCGCUGACCUCCAGGCUGAGAUGUGCAACACCCAGGCCUGUGAGAAGACCCAGCUGGAGUUCAUGUCUGAGCAGUGCUCCCAGACGGACAGGAAACCGCUACACCUCUCCCCGGGCAACGCCUCCUUCUACCACUGGGGCUCCGCGGAGCAGUACCGUCAAGGGGAUGCUCUGUGCAGACACAUGUGCCGGGCCAUUGGCGAGACCUUCAUUGUGAGGCGCGGGGAUAGUUUCCUGGAUGGGACCCGGUGUGUGCCAAAUGGUCGGCGGGAGGACGGGACCCUGAGCCUGUGCGUGUUGGGCAGCUGCAGGACAUUCGGCUGUGACGGCAGGAUGGACUCCCCGCAGGUGCGAGACGUGUGUCAGGUGUGCGGAGGGAACAACAGUACAUGCAGCCCGCGGAACGGCUCUUUCACGGGCGGCAGGGCCAGAGAGUAUGUCACGUUCCUGACCGUGACCCGCAACCUGACCGGCGUACACAUCACCAAUCGGAGGCCUCUCUUCACACACCUGGCAGUGCGGAUCCGAGGGCACUACGUCGUGGCCGGGAAUUCCAGCAUCUCUCCGAGCACCACCUACCCCUCCCUCCUGGAGGACAGCCGUGUGGAGUACAGAGUGGCUCUCACCGAGGACCGGCUGCCUCAGCUGGAGGAGAUCCGCAUCCUGGGACCCACCCAGGACGACGUGGAGAUCCAGGUUUACAGGCGCUACGGGGAAGAGUAUGGUGACCUCGUGCGCCCAGACAUCACCUUCACCUACUUCCAGCCUCAGCAGCCACAGGCCUGGGCAUGGGCCGCCGUGCGCGGGUCCUGCUCGGUGAGCUGUGGGGCAGGGCUGCGCUGGGUGACCUACAGCUGUCUGGACCAGGCCAGGAAUGAGUGGGUGGAGGCCGCCCGGUGUGAAGGGAGCCAGCAGCCGGCAGCGUGGCCAGAGUCCUGCGCCCCCUGGCCCUGCCCCCCACAGCAGGAGGGAUCAGACGUGUGCUCAUCAGCCUGUGGAACAGACCCGGCUUCACAGAAUACGACGUGUGUGCGCGGGGCAGAGGGCCUGGAGGCACUGACCACUGCUGGGCCCUGCUCCGCAGACGAGAAGCUGCCUGCCCUUGAGCACUGUGUGGCCAUGGCAUGUCCUUCAGUACCGGGCCAUCCAGAACCCCAGUCUCUGGAGGAGGCCACAUCUGCACCAGGCAGUGCCAGGCUGGGGGCUCAUGCCGCACACAUGUGGACUCCCCUGGCGGGGCCGUGCUCUGUCUCCUGUGGUCGAGGCCUGAUGGAGCUGCGCUUCGUGUGUGUGGACUCUACCCUGGGGACCCCUGUCCAGGAAGAGCUAUGUGACUUGGAGAGCAAGCCUGGGAGGCGGCGGGAGGCCUGCCAGGCUGCCCCUUGCCCGGCUUGGUGGGAGACCCGAGCCUUGGCACCAUGCCCAGUGACCUGCGGAGGGGGGCGGGUGCCACUAGCUGUUCGCUGCGUGAGGCUGGACCACGGCCACCCUGUCCCCCUGCCUCACUCCGAGUGCUGGCCGGUGCCCAGGCCCCACCCUGUCCAGGACUGCAGUCCAGAGCCCUGCCCUGCCAGGUGGAAAAUCAUGUCCCUUGGCCCAUGCUCAGCCAGCUGUGGCCUUGGCACGGCCACACGCUCCGUGGCCUGCGCGCAGCUCAGCCAAGGCCAGGACGUGGAGGUGGAUGGGGCAGCCUGUGCGGCUCUGGUCCGGCCUCAGACCAGCAUCCCCUGCAUCAUCGCCGACUGCACCUACCGGUGGCAUGUCAGCACCUGGACGCAGUGCUCUGUCUCCUGUGGAGAUGGCAUCCAGCGCCGGCAUCACGCCUGCCUUGGACCCCAAGCCCAGGCACCCGUGCCGGCCGCCUUCUGCCGGCAUUUGCCCCAGCCAGCCGCGGUGCGGGGCUGCUGGGCCGGGCCCUGUGCCGGGCAGGGGACUCCCAGUCCGGCGCCCCGUGACGAAGCCACUGCUCCAGAGCAUGCCACUGCUGGUGCUCCUCUGGAGUGGCCCCAGCGCCAGGCCCACCUCCUCUCCCCAGCCCCCCGGCUUCAGGGGCUUCUGCCUGGGCCCCAGGAGAGCCCUGCUGAGUCCAGUUAUGUUCUUCAACCUUUCUGUCUGGGCAGCUGGCUGGCUGCAGGAGGGGUGGGCAAAGGCUUCCCACUGGGAGAGCUGGGACCAGCUCCUUGGGAGGACCCCCUGGGAUGGUGCAGUGGUGCAGCCUUGGAUCGCUGGGAGGUGCCUGCGGCCGACAGCACCUUGAGCCAACAGGAACCAUUGACAUGAGAGGCCCAGGGCAGACUGACUGUGCGGUGGCCAUCGGGCGGCCCCUGGGUGAGGUGGUGACCCUUCACGUCCUCGAGAGCUCCCUCAGCUGCAGUGCUGGGGACAUGUUGCUGCUUUGGGACAGGCUCACGUGGAGGAAGACAUGCGGGAAGCUGUCUGGCAUGACUUUCAGCUCCAAAACGAACACGUUGGUGGUGAGGCAGCGCCGUGUGCGUCCGGAAGGCGGGGUUGUGCUGCGGUACGGGAGCCAGCCUGCCCCGGGAACCCCCCACAGAGACUGUGACAUGCAGCUCUUUGGACCCUGGGGUGAAAUCGUGAGCCCCUCGAUGAGUCCUGAUGGGAGCAACUCGGGGGGCUGCCGCAUCUUCAUUAAUGUGGCCCCACAGGCCCGGAUUGCCAUCCAUGCCCUGGCCACUGAUGUGGGCACGGGAACUGGUGCCAGCUACAUCUCGAUCCGGGAUAUCCACAGCCUGAAGACGAUGACAUUUCACGGGCAGCAGGCACUCUACUGGGAGUCAGAGGGAAGCCAGGCUGAGAUGGAGUUUAGCCAGGGCUUCCUGGAGGCCCGUGCCAGCCUACGGGGCCAGUACUGGACCCUCCAAUCUAGAGUUCAGGAGCCUGGCUGGGCCGUGUCCUAGCUUUUUCUCCAAGCACAUACCUCCAGGGACCUGUGGGCACAGUGGGAUGCCUCCUCUAGACCCUGGAAGAGAAAAGAAGGAGCCUGACAUUUAUGAGCACCUGUUAGGUGCCCGGCGAGCCCCAGAGGGUUGGCUCUGGUCUCUGAGUGCUUUCCAGUUUGGAUUUCCUCCAAUCUUUAAGUGUCUCCUUUAGGACCUCCUACAACAUGCAAAAGGCAGGCGGUGGAAAGUAGGGACUGGACUCUCUGGAAAGGCAGUCUCCAGCCUCUGUACCAAUAAACGGAAUGUGCAGUCUGAG